ensembl:lncRNA CES1P1 carboxylesterase 1 pseudogene 1
AGAGGAUUAGGCAAUUGGCAGUGCAGGGCGGUAACUGGGGGCCAGGGUGGCGCCAGGGCUGGACAGCACAGUCCCUCUGAGCUGCACGGAGACCUCGCAGGCCCCCGGAACUGUCGCCCUUCCAGGAUGUGGCUCCCUGCUCUUGUCCUGGCCACUCUCGCUGCUUCCGCGGCUUGGGGUUCACCCAAGAUCCCAAGGCGGGGCAGUUAAUCUCAGAGCUAUUUACAAACUGAAAAGAGAACAUUCCUCUCAAGCUUUCUGAAGACUGUCUUUACCUCAAUAUUUACACUCCUGCUGACUUGACCAAGAAAAACAGGCUGCCGGUGAUGGUGUGGAUCCACGGAGGGGGGCUGAUGGUGGGUGCGGCAUCAACCUACGAUGGGCUGGCCCUUGCUGCCCAUGAAAACGUGGUGGUGGUGACCAUUCAAUAUCGCCUGGGCAUCUGGGGAUUCUUCAGCACAGGGGAUGAACACAGCCCGGGGAACUGGGGUCACCUGGACCAGCUGGCUGCCCUGCACUGGGUCCAGGACAACAUUGCCAGCUUUGGAGGGAACCCAGGCUCUGUGACCAUCUUUGGAGGGUCAGUGGGAGGAGAAAGUGUCUCUGUUCUUGUUUUGUCUCCAUUGGCCAAGAACCUCUUCCACCGGGCCAUUUCUGAGAGUGGCGUGGCCCUCACUUCUGUUCUGGUGAAGAAAGGUGAUGUCAAGCCCUUGGCUGAGCAAAUUGCUAUCACUGCUGGGUGUAAAACCACCACCUCAGCUGUGAUGGUUCACUGCCUGCGACAGAAGACGGAAGAGGAGCUCUUGGAGACGACAUUGAAAAUGAAAUUCUUAUCUCUGGACUUACAGGGAGACCUCAAAGAGAGUCACCACUAUUUGGCCACCGUGAUUGAUGGGGUGGUGCUGCUGAAAACACCUGAAGAGCUUCAAGCUGAAAGGAAGUUCCACACUGUCCCCUACAUGGUCGGAAUUAACAAGCAGGAGUUUGGCUGGAUGCUUCCAAUGUUGAUCAGCUAUCCACUCUCCAAAGGGAAACUGGACCAGAAGACAGCCAUGUCACUCUUAUUGAAGUCCUAUCCCCUUCUUCACAUUCCUAAGGAACUGAUUCCAGAAGCCAUUGAGAAGUACUUAGGAGGAACAGAUGACCCUGUCAAAAAGAAAGACCUGUUCCUGGACUUAAUGGGGGAUGUGAUCUUGGGUGUCCCAUCUGUGAUUCUGGCCCAGAACCACAGAGAUGCUGGAGCACCCACCUACAUGUAUGAGUUUCAGUACCGUCCAAGCUUCUCAUCAGACAUGAAACCCAAGACGGUGAUAGGAGACCACGGGGAUGAGCUCUUCUCCGUCUUUGGGGCCCCAUUUUUAAAAGAGGGUGCCUCAGAAGAGGAGAUCAGACUUAGCAAGAUGGUGAUGAAAUUCUGGGCCAACUUUGCUCGCAAUGGAAACCCCAAUGGGGAAGGGCUGCCCCACUGGCCAGAGUACAACCAGAAGGAAGGGUAUCUGCAGAUUGGUGCCAACACCCAGGCGGCCCAGAAGCUGAAGGACAAAGAAGUAGCUUUCUGGACCAACCUCUUUGCCAAGAAGGCAGUGGAGAAGCCACCCCAGACAGAACACAUAGAGCUGUGAAUGAAGAUCCAGCCGGCCUUGGGAGCCUGGAGGAGCAAAGACUGGGGUCUUUUGCGAAAGGGAUUGCAGGUUCAGAAGGCAUCUUACCAUGGCUGGGGAAUUGUCUGGUGGUGGGGGGCAGGGGACAGAGGCCAUGAAGGAGCAAGUUUUGUAUUUGUGACCUCAGCUUUGGGAAUAAAGGAUCUUUUGAAGGCCAAA